rnacentral:rRNA from 1 species
UACGGAGGUCCCGAGCGUUGUUCGGAAUUACUGGGCGUAAAGGGAGCGCAGGCGGACGGGUCAGUCUGAAGUGGAAAUCCGGGGCUUAACCUCGGACUUGCUUCGGAUACUGCCUGUCUUGAGUUCGUGAGAGGAAGAUGGAAUUCAGGGUGUAGCGGUGAAAUGCUCAGAUAUCCUGAGGAACACCAGUGGCGAAAGCGGUCUUCUGGCACGAAACUGACGCUGAGGCUCGAAAGCGUGGGUAGCAAACAGGAUUAGAAACCCUAGUAGUCC